GUACAGAGGAAUUUGAAAGUCUCGGAGUUAGAGGAGUAAGAUCAUGUUUUCUUAAAUUUAUUUAGCGGAAAUAGCAGUCCUUGCAACAUUAAAGAGAUACACUUAAAAAAUUAUCAAAUUCAACAACAAUUUAGGUCCGACAUCAUCGGACACAAAUAAAGGCAAUAAUUACCAAAAAAAAAUUCAUAAUUAAAAAUAAAGUUGCUUGGAAAAAAAUUACAUUCAUUUUUAUUCUUAACUAAACGUCUUUUACUCAAGAGAUGGUGCUGCACUUUUGAACACCUGUAUAUCAAAAUACUGAAAAUAAAACUUGGUCAAACUGUUUACACAAAAAUAAUAAGAUUAUGUCUUGUUUGAUUAGAUAAAGGUACUAGGUCUUAUACUUGUGAUCACUGAUCAUAUAAACAUAAGAGAUACGAGAUCGUAACUGAGGUUGAAAAAGCAGGCAAAAAUAAGUAGUACAUUCAAAUGAUACAUCACGUGAAAGAAAACUUGUGCAAGUGAUGGAAGCAUCAAUGAGAGCAUCGUCUGCUGAUUAGUGGGGAAUUCCCCAAGGUUUUUCUUGCGGACUUAUCCGUUUGAGUAUUGGGAUCGAUUUAUUUUGGGUAUGGAGUGCACGAGGUAGGUGUUUAUGUUGGAGCGCUCACCCAAAAGUCGGCCUCGUCUUUCUCGCGAUUGAGCAGAUCCUCGAAGGGAAUGCUGCAAUUGGCGACGAAGACGUCGGGCGGGAUGGCAGCGUCGUGAAAGACAGUCAAGGUGAGCGUCUUGGCGUUGUCGACGCUCUGCUCGAAGUACUCGUUCCAGACGGGAUCGAGCGUCUUCGGCUUGGUGGUGGUCUGGGCGACGUGAGUGUCGUCGACGUCGACGGUCACGUAGGGGUCCAUCAGCUGGUCGUCGGCCACCUUCCCGAACGUCAUGUUGUGGCGCUUCGAGCAGUCCGUCGGCCGUAAGCCCUGAGCCUCGCAUAUUUUGAUGCGGACGGUCCCCGUGAACAUUGGGAACGCACGACGCCACCACCGAAUUCACCGUCUUAUUCACUCGGCCACACACCACAUCAACACCUGCUUCUGCAUACGCACACGGAGCGAAACAAACACCACCACUUCUUGACAGCAGCCAUGGACGACGAGCGACGACGACGCCGCUCCCGAAUUCCCGACCGAGGAGACACCUCUCCCACAGUCUUCAGCGCCUCCACAAACAACCGCACCAUCGACCCAAGCACAGAUGACGCCACCGACUACCAUGCACCCACCGUCCAAAGACGCGCUCUGCGUACGAGGUGUGCUUAAAAACACUUCACACUUUCCUCAAUUUACUGAUUCCCAAAGAAAAAAUGGUGCUCUCCGCUAUGGGGCACCGGAGUAGUAUUAUUUUUCAGCCCGGUUUAGCACAAUUUCGCAAAAACCGCGUUUUUAUCUCAUCAAUAAUGUAUUUAAACUCUUGAAAAAAGAAUAAAUCACACGUUUGAAUUUUUGUCGAAAUAAUUAAA